rnacentral:lncRNA from 1 species
UCAACAUCAAGCAGCUCCUUAGUAGCUCAUCCACGUACAGCGAGGUCCUCCUCGUGCCACGGCUCGUCGUGGCUCGUCGGUGGCUCAUCGUGGCUUGUCGGCGGCUCGUCCAAGUGCUGCAGGUGCAACACCUCCAAGGUAUCCACACGUGUUCGGAGGAAGCAUUGCAAGCUGGACUCCUAGGUCAGCGAGUUGCAACAGGGCGAGGGCGUGGGAGGCGCGCCAGCUAUGGUUUGGCCAAAAAG